GUCCCAAGACUGUUAGAUCUGGAUCUCUCUCUUUUGAUAAUAGUAAGCAUGUGUACUGUAAUUUUAAACAGUAAUAACAUGCUGUUGGACUACAUUUAAGGAAAACUCCUUUAUGCAUCUGUUUACUUGAUAUAAGCAAACAGUCUUCAUUAUGAUCUGAAAAAAACAUAUGAUCAUAGUACAUUUUGCAGUGUGUGCUGUGAUCUGUAAGGAUGUACACUAGGGCAAACAGUGAGAUAAAAGCUGCAUGAUCAAAGCUGAAGCUUUCUAUUCCAUAGAAGAUAGAAAUAUACCUUUCACAGGACCAGACACUAUGAUAUGAUGGAAGGAGAGUCAGGUUCCCUUUUACAUUUCACAGAAAAGUUCCCAUAUUCCACAUUUUCAAAGCUAUGUAGUAAUCCCUUAUACACUGCUAUAUCUAGAUGUGAAGCGACUGCUGCAGUUCUUCAGCAUUCCAGCAUGACAGAAAGAUCAAACACAUCCUCAGUUUUUUUCAACAACAGCUUUCCACAUAAACUCGAAUGAAAUGCACAACUUUAGACAUGAAUAUUAGGGUAUAUCCUCCAGCACAGGUGCAUUUAUGUAGAAAACCACUUUGACAGGGAUGAUGAUCAUGAUCAAUACUUAUGUUCUAAAUUUUUCUACAUAGAGAAAUCCAGAGUGGAUUACUAAAAGCAGAGACAAUGACCCUUAUUCUGGAAGUCCCUGAUAUGCAAGUUAGUGAAGCCUUUGGAAAUACUUUGCAUUAGCAUCAUUUAUAGUUCUUUAAUCUUAACUUCUACUCUGGGUAUUGGCUGCCAAGGACAGGAUACUGGAUUAGGUAGACUCUUUGUUUGUCCCAGUACAGUCAUUCUUCUGUUUUCUUGGUGCAAUGGAGGUGCACAGAAAGGAACAUUAUUUUGACAGCCAUAAAUACACAGUACCCCAGAACAUAAGGGGAGUGGGGAUGGCUAUUUGAAAGAAAACAGAACUUCCCCCCAUCCCCUCCCACACAGCCAUCAGGAACUGAUAUCUCUGCUGAUCAACUUGGUCUCUAUACUGCUGUUCCAUGGCCUUCUCCUGUUUCUGGAGGCAGAAAUCUAAGUUCACCUCUCCUUCCUAACCCAAAGAGUCACAUUAGCCAGCUGUCUAGCAACUACUGAAAAUCUAAGAAUGCUCAGGCAUGACAAAAGGUUAUGUGUUAGAUUUCAACACUGGCAGCUCAUCUAUCCAUGCCCUUGAAAGUGGUAUUUUUCUCCCAGUUCUGGUGGUAAAGAAUAAAACAAAAAAAGAAACACUGGACAAUCCAGUUUCUUUCCACUCUUCCUGAAACUCAUAAUUAUUGCUGGAAAAACAUCUAACUGGACUACAGCACUCAUGUAUUCAUGAAGAAGUAAACUAAAACCCCUGCAUGCCAUGACUGAAGAAAGCUUUGUCUCCUUUCCUGCAAGGCAAAAAGCACAAAAAUACACUAAAAUUGCUUGCUUUAAAAAGCAAAGAUGUCCUUAUGCCAAGUGAUCAAGAACCAUUGUGUCUAGUUUGAAUGCCGUGGGUGCUACAUGGACAACUUGGAAAGAAUCUAAAAAAGAGGAGCCUAACUUACUGAAGCAAGUAUUUGAUGCUGAAGGACUGGUACAGAAACACACACUGAGACUGCUUUGGGCAGUCAUCAUAGGCUGUAUCCUG